AGAAUCAACGCUGGCGGCGUGCCUAACACAUGCAAGUCGAACGAGAAAGUGGAGCAAUCCAUGAGUAAAGUGGCGCACGGGUGAGUAACACGUGACUAACCUACCCUUGAGUGGGGAAUAACUUCGGGAAACCGAGGCUAAUACCGCAUAACACCUACGGGUCAAAGGAGCAAUUCGCUUAAGGAGGGGGUCGCGGCAGAUUAGUUAGUUGGCGGGGUAAUGGCCCACCAAGACAGUGAUCUGUAUCCGGCCUGAGAGGGCGCACGGACACACUGGAACUGAAACACGGUCCAGACUCCUACGGGAGGCAGCAGUGGGAAUUUUGCGCAAUGGGGGAAACCCUGACGCAGCAACGCCGCGUGGAGGAUGAAGUCUCUUGGGACGUAAACUCCUUUCGAUCGGGACGAUAAUGACGGUACCGAGAGAAGAAGCCCCGGCUAACUUCGUGCCAGCAGCCGC
rnacentral:rRNA from 1 species